AACAUGGUCCAGUGGUUUGGCAGCUGCUGAUAUGUCACUGGGCCUGUCUUUCAUUGGCUUCUGAGCUCUGCCUGAAUGACCCAUCAGGUAACAGGUCACUGGUUUUCAUCCUGGGCAUGCCUGAGGCAGUCAGGCACUGACACUGUUUGUCAUAUGAGUUUCUGUUGAGGUUUGAGGCCAAAGCCUAUCCCUGAUGCAAAGUCUGCAUUGGGUGCUGCCCUUCAGAAGACCGUGAUUUCCAGCCGGGGCCCUGGAACCAGAUCACAUGAUAUGAAUUCCAGGCUCUCAUAACUCCCUACAAGUGUGAUCCUGAAUACAUAUCCUUACUCUCUGAGCCCUUGUUUCUUCAUCUGUAGAUAGACAACUUCAGAAAAAGUGGGUACCUCAUCCAAGGUGACAUGAAGAAGCUACAGAGACAGAGUCAAGAGAUAAGGCCCAGAUGUCCGGCCUCCAGAUCUACAAGAGGAUACAUUUCUGUGCUUUCAGCCACCAGGUUCAUGG